UAUGAGUGCAUUGUCGGCAAAACAGGCGCGCCUAAAAACGCUACAAAAACGCACCGCGCGGCAUUUGAAAGGCAUUCACACGGCGAUUUGCCGAUUUUGAAGCAGUAAAAAACUGCGGUCAACUCAGCCGACACUCGGAUCUCCUUGGUCAACUCAGCCGACAGUGCCGAGACUUACAUUUCUGUGCACCUAUAGACUGAUGUUGACGGUAAACGCAUUGGAUCGGGAGCGCGCGAGGGUUUGAUAAAGUUAGCGGAAGGAUUCACGUGACAUAACAUCCGGUUUUGCAAAGUUAGCGGAAAGAACUACGUGAAACAACAUCCCUUUUUUCAAAAUAAGAUGUCGACAAAUCAUACACUAGCAUAUACAAGUAAACAAUUAACUGAUUUUGAAUCUUUAUAGAUCGUUUCUGAGAUUUAACUUAAAUUAUGCUAACAUUAAAACUUUUUUACUGUACCAAGGAAGAGUUUAUAAAAAUAAAAGUCAGACUUUUGUAUGUUAAAAAAUUCCUGUAUAUAGAUUUCCCCAAGAGUUCCAGGAAAUGAAUGAUGCAGCUGUGUUCAAGACAGUCCUGACUUCCAUUAUCCUGGAAAUCAAACUUAUCUAUGUUCCCAAUUGGGAGAUAUUUCAAAGUAAAAGUCCUAAAUGUUUACGAGAAAUCUGUCAUUUCAUGUUUGAGGUGCUUUAUAUAUGUUUUUCCUCAAAACCCCCGGCAUUGACUGAUGCAGCCGUGUUUAAGACAAUCCUGACUCCCAUUAUCCCGGGAAUCAGACAUAUCUACGUUCCCAAUUGGGAGAUAUUUCAAAGUAAAAGUCCUAAAUGUUUACGAGAAAUCGGUAAUUUCUUUCAUGUUUGAGGUGCUUUAUAUAUGUUUUUCCUCAAAACCCCCGGCAUUGACUGAUGCAGCCGUGUUUAAGACAAUCCUGACUUCCAUUAUCCUGGGAAUCAGACAUAUCUACGUUCCCAAUUGGGAGAUAUUUCAAAGUAAAAGUCCUAAAUGUUUACGAGAAAUCGGUAAUUUCUUUCAUGUUUGAGGUGCUUUAUAUAUGUUUUUCCUCAAAACCCCCGGCAUUGACUGAUGCAGCCGUGUUUAAGACAAUCCUGACUUCCAUUAUCCUGGGAAUCAGACAAAUCUACGGUCCCAAUUGGGAGAUAUUUCAAAUUAAAUGUCCUAAAUGUUUACGAGAAAUCGGUCAUUUCUUUCAUGUUUGAGUUUGAGUCAGCCUUCAGGAGCGCUGAUCAGCAAAUAUUACUACAUUGUGACUGGAAAAGGACAAGAAGACUUGAUCGGGCUACCAAUUCUGCAUCGCUGCCACACGUUAUGAAGAAUGCCAAAGAUUUAUGUCGAAAACUGAUGCCCCCAGACAUUACCACCUGGCCAUGCACGUCUUUGGUCUAAUGACACAGGCAACAACCCUAAAUGACUUAGGCGAACUUGUCAUCAGUGCAGCGGUGGUUUUUUCCAGUUCCCACAGUGAGAGUAAUGUUGAAAAACAUUUCCAGAGACCAUUAACAAAAGCAGGACAUUGUGACAUUGAUGACACAAUCAUUGUGGAGCAAGACUUUGUGGUAUGUAACUUAAUAAUUUUUUAUAGCGCAACUAUUUUAUCCCAACUUGGAUUUACAUAAAGUAAAAAGGGAAGCUUUUGGCAGGACUGUAUUCACCUGCAUAUUUAUUGCCAAAAUCCAAUAGACAACCAUUCUUCGGUGGUGACAGGGUUUACGUUUGUUUCCAAGAUGUAAGAAAUAAAACUAAACUUUAAUUAUUUUUGCGAGAAUGAUGUGGGACCAACACCAUUUCAACAUCAUUUUGAUGACAUCAUUGGACAUCAAGAGCUUGAGAAAAAUGGGGAUCCAAAUGUAUCCUGAAGUAUAACGUUUAUCCCAACAUUGGUGAAGUACUUCUUACCUCAAGCCGCUCUGUGGUCUGGCCUACUCCUGGGUUAGUCCUAUUUUUCACAUGUGCUUUGAUAUACUUUUAUUUUCAUAGCUAUUUAAUUUAAGUAAAGAUAACAUAUUUUGGCAGGUGACCUUGGGCACCAUGGAACAGGUCCCAUUUACGACAGACUUUCGCAAGUGUUCAAAAGAGCUUCAUGUAGACCCACACAGGUACUAUAAGCCAAAAUCAUGAUACUGAAAUAAAUGUGAAUUAUUCCAUCCUGGAUAUUACAGAGAAAGAUCAAGAUCAGGUUAUGGAGAAAAGUCAAUGGGAUCUGAAAAAGAUCCGUUUUCAACGGAGACGACUGACCAGACUUGAUGACUUUGUCCACACCUACAAAACCUACAGUGACUCUUUGAAGAGGAAGAAGAAGACACACCUGGUGGAUGUUGAGAGGUGGAAGCAGAGAAAACAGAAUAAGCGAGGAAUUUAUGUGACGCCCUUGACCAAGUCUUUUCUUUUCAAACAACACAAAAAGCACAACAGAAACAAUCACACCACAAGCUCCAACAACAACAAAAGAUCUUGACCAUAAUGAAAAGGCCAUUAAAGGGCUUUCAACAAGCUUGAAGCCAACAGAUGAUGAGGAUGCACAGGGAUGCACAGUUGAUGCUCCAUCACAGCUCCAGGAACUGUGGGGACAAAAUGACACAGAAGUGGUUGUGUCGGAGAUCCCCUCUCAAUUUAAAGGAAACAGCUUCAUGAUCCAUCACAGCGAGCUAUGAACCCUCAGACCUCACGAAUGGCUUGCAGGCGAGGUAAUUGAGUGUCUCUUGCAUCACACACUCAACGAGCUCCAUUUGGGGAAUAAACUUUAUAUCCUCAACUACUACACGGCUAAUGUGAUCCUCUUUGGAAAGAGAGAAGCUGUCAGGAGGAACAGUUUGUCCAAGAUCAACUUUGAGGACUACGAAGGAAUCGUGUCUUUUGUGAAUGUACACAACACUCACUGGAAGUUUCUGUCCAUCAGUGCUGCCCAAGGCAGCAUUUAUUUGGUGGACCCAUUCCACACAUCCACAGAGCUGGCAGACUCCAACAAUGCUGCCAAAAGAUUCCGAUUCAGUCUGACAGCUGUUCCCGCUGGUUCCACAGCCAGUGCCUCGGAAUGGACACACAAACCCUUCAGAAAGCAUCAAAUUCCAACUGGAACUGCUGUCUGUGUCCCUAAUUAUUGCACCAAAAGGAUGUGCAACAUUUUUUCCAUUCAUUAUUUUACAUUUAUUCUAAUUUGUGCAAAAUAAAGUUUUAUUUUAUUUUUUCUGUAAUUUCACUUUGGAUAAUUCACGGUUCAAAUGUGUCACUUUAAUGUUCUAAAAUCGUAAUUUUCAAAAUGUUCUGAAUUAAUGUUCAAAUGUGUGACUUUCAUUUUGAAAUAUAUUAGGAUUAGUCGAAUAAAAAACGACUUCCUGAACA